rnacentral:rRNA from 1 species
ACAUGCCUACAACAUAGCGUUAAUGCACCAAAUCCCAUUAGAAAUCUGCAGUUAAGUGCGCUCGAGCUAGAGUAAUACUGGGAUGGGUGACCGCCUAGGAAGUCCUAGUGUUUUACAUGCC